rnacentral:lncRNA from 1 species
GGAAUUCUUAUGGGGCUCAGGAAGUAUGAUCGGGUGUGGCAUUAGUGGACUGCUGAUUGACGCCUGGGCUUAUCCUCUGCCCUUCUUCGUACUCGCCUUACUGGCAAGCUUUUCGCUUCCAUGGACAACACGCUCGCAAAGAAUACCAGACAAACCUUUAAAAGAGAUGCAGCAUCGUUCCAAUUUCCGAGUCUUCGGAAAACCGGAAGAAUUUGUUCAGGCUACUCAUAGACCCUGUGUUCGCAAUCGACAUGGUUACUGUGAUGCUAAGCU